GCUGGGAAUGCCACAAGUGGUGGAUUUGGGUUUUUGGUUUUUGUUUUGUUUUGAGGUUAUUCUGAGAGGCUUUGCCAUCCAAUUUGUAAAACAAAAGGGGGCGUGAUUCCCCUUCCUUUUUCCCUGUGGGCUUUGGGAAGGCAGGGGCAUGGUACUCACAGCCUCCUGGAGAGGGUGACCUCUGACACCCAUUGUGUCCUAUGACUGUGUACCCAGUGGGGGACCCACUCCGAGGGUCGCGGCCCUGCUGCCCACAAGCUCUCACUGUUUGCUGGUACUGAACCCCCUAACCCUGCACUUCCUGUGAGUGACGUUGGGGACGCCCCACCUUCCCCUGGGGCUGCCGUGGCGGAGGCCAGUGCCCAGCUCGAAGCCUCAAGAACUGAGUUGCUGAUUUGUUAUUCUCAUGGGCUCAUAACUGCGUUGGGCACUGGGGAGGAAGGAGGACUUGGGGAUGGAGAAAACGCGGCAGCUGUGACAUUCAGGAGCUCGAGGCCUAAGGGGACAGACAGAGGAACAAUUUUACGUGAAGAGACUGAAGUCCUGAGAACCGAAGUGAUUUGUCAGGUCUCAGAGUGGAGCUCAGACUGGAACUCAAGUCUGCUGACUCCAGGGCCCCACCUAACUGUGUUUCAGAGAAGGGGCCUUUUGAGUUGGGUUUCAUAGGAUGAGUAGGAGUUCACCAGCUGGCGACCAGUUCAGGCACAGAAUCAGCAAGUGCAAAGGCCAGGAGGCGUGACAUUAGAGGGCUUGUUCGGGAGGCGGAAAAGCAGAUUAGCGGGGCUGGUUCCAGGGAGGUUCAGAAGAAUGUUUGCAGCCCGAAGGCCAAGGAAAGGCCUGCGUUUCAUCUUCUGGACAAAAAGGGCCAGCGACAUAUUUUAAGCAAGACAAUGACGUGAUUAAACGUCUAGCUCAUUUUAUUAGAGAUCCAGUGAAUGUGCUUGUUCAUCAGAAAAUGAGGAAACAGAACAACAGCUAGAUUCCUAAGGAUUAUACUUUAACUUUUGGGCUGAGUUACGAGAAAAAAAAUGUAGCGUAUCAUCACUUAGGAAGGGCUGGCGCGCUCUCGAAGGUGCGAGCAGCUGCGUGUUUUCCAGGGCUUUGAGGGCUCACCUACUGUGUCGGCCUCACAGGAACCUCGAACUGUUGCUAAGAGAGGUUGUUUCCCCUUCUGUCAGGAAGCUGGAUGUCUCCAUCAGGAAAGGAAAGCAGCCGGUGGCAGACGUCGCGCGUGUGUCAGUUCCUGGGCCCACCUUCUCGCUUUGCGUGAGACCUCUGGUGUUUGGCUGAGUGGAUGGCUGCCUAGAAUCCAGGCUGCUUCUCAACCUCCCCUGUGGCCAGGGGUGGCCAUUCGAUGAAGUUCUGCACGUGAGCAGAAGUGGCAUUUGGAGCUUCCUAGAGGUAUCCUUAAAGGGAGGAGGGUGUGUGCGCUUUGAAGUCUCCUUCCUGGCUGGAAUGCAGGCGUGGUAGCUGGAGCACUGGCAGCGGUGUUGGGCUGUGAUGGCGUAAAGCAACAAGACGGAGGAGCCUGGACCGUGGCGCCUCUGCCAGCCCUGGAAGGCUGAUCCCAGGACAGCAUUCGCAUGAGAGGAAUAAGUUUCUCAUUGGAGCCGCUGUGAUCUGGGGAUUCCAGAGGCUCUGCAAACCUAACACGGAUUUAAACAGUAUCGCUGGGAGUAAGCAGAAGGUGACAAUAGCAACAAAUGCCGUGGGAAAGUAACAUGCUGAAACUGAUCCAUCCGAUCCGGCCGCCCUCCAAGGCUCUGAACCUGAAAGCUGCUCUAUUUGUUAAACUCAUAAUAACAACAAUACACGAAAAGCAUCAGUCAUCAUGAGGCCUGACAGAUCGUUGGGCAGGGAUGGGCAUUCUCACCACGCGACUCCAGGCUGUUCAGUGCCUGCCACUACCUGAAGUCACCUGGCGGCGUGCGCCCCGCGGGCUGAAAGCAGCCGCAAUAGGAUGAGGCCUGCCCCCCUGGCACCCUCGGGGGCGCCUCGACUGCUAACCUGGGCCCUUUUCCAUUUCUCCUCCCGGAGCCCAGUCCGCUAGCCACACCGAGCAGCUCCGCGUCCAGCAGGGCCCACGUUCGUUCCGGGAGCCAGCACGGGGUGAGUGAACGCUCGUUGAGGGUGGGCAGCCGGCACCCAGCGCAGGCAUCCCCGCUGAGGAGUCCGGCGCUGUCUGGCUCUGCUCUGCGGCACGCUGUCCUCGCCCCGCUCUGCUCAUCAGCUUUCCGGUCCUGCCCCGGCCUCCUGCCCUGGGCUCCGAAGAGACCAGAUCUGCCCUUUCCCUCUGCCUGGCCGGUUGCUGCCUGCUCCUCAGCCUGGCAUCCAGGCCUCAGUGCCGACUUCAGCUUCACCGGAUUUUCAGACACGACCCUCUGCUCUAGCCGCGAGGUUCCUGCCUCCGAGCCUUUGUCUACCAUCCCCCGGCCAGCUCUGCGCCGGCCCCACACAUCCCACUCGUCCUGAUGGGCCAGCGUCACAGCUGCUGACUGGGGCGCUGGGCAGGUCCCCGAACCUCCCUGAGUUUUGAUGUCUUCGUGCGUAAGACACUCAUUCAACACAUAUUGUUGAGCUCUUACUAUGUCUGCAGCAGUCCGGGGUCAGCGGUGGGGAAAGCAAAUUUUUUACCGUCUGUCCUUUUGUACCUUAUAAAUGCUGUAUCAAAUGCAACUGUUACUUAUUUACCUUUUUUAUUAAAAUAAUAAUUGAACAUGGA